rnacentral:rRNA from 1 species
CAAUAGCGUAUAUUAAAGUUGUUGCAGUUAAAAAGCUCGUAGUUGGAUUUCUGGUGGGAGCGAUCGGUCUGGCGCUUAGCGCGAGUACUUGCAUCGUCUCCGGCCAUCCUUGGGGAGAGUCUGUCUGGCAUUAGGUUGUCGGGCAGAGGAUCUUCAUCGUUUACUGUGAAAAAAUUAGAGUGUUCAAAGCAGGCUUAUGCCGUUGAAUAUAUUAGCAUGGAAUAAUAAGAUAGGACUUUGGUACUAUUUUGUUGGUUUGCGCACCAAAGUAAUGAUUAAUAGGGACAGUUGGGGGUAUUCGUAUUCCGUUGUCAGAGGUGAAAUUCUUGGAUUACGGAAGACGAACUACUGCGAAAGCAUUUACCAAGGAUGUUUUCAUUAA